ACUCAAAUGAAUUGACGGGGACCCGCACAACCAGUGGAGCGUGUGGUUCAAUUCGAGACAAAGCGAAAAACCUCACCAGGGUUUGACAUGCUAGAGUUCUAUGCUUAUGAAAGUAAGCAGAUCCGUAAGGAGGCUAGCACAGGUGUUGCAUGGUUGUCUUCAGCUCGUGCCGUGAGGUGUUCCCUUAAGUGGGGAAACGAGCGCAACCCGUGUGAAAUGUUACAUAUUCAUUUCAGACUGCUCUAUUUUAUAGAGAGGAAGGCGCGGUAGACGUCAAAUCAGCACGGCCCUUAUACCCUGGGCUACACACACCCUACAAUGGCGAAAAACAACGAGCUGCAACACGGCGACGUGAAGCUAAUCUCUGAAAUUUCGUCUCAGUUCGGAUUGCAGUCUGAAACUCGACUGCAUGAAGUCGGAAUUGGUAGUAAUCGCAGAUCAGCAGGCUGCGGUGAAUACGUUCUCGGGUCUUGUACACACCGCCCGU
rnacentral:rRNA from 1 species